UACGGGGGGAGCAAGCGUUGUUCGGAUUUACUGGGCGUAAAGGGCGCGUAGGCGGUCAGCACAAGUCAGUUGUGAAAUCUCCGGGCUUAACUCGGAAAGGUCAACUGAUACUGUGCGACUAGAGUGCAGAAGGGGCAACUGGAAUUCUCGGUGUAGCGGUGAAAUGCGUAGAUAUCGAGAGGAACACCGGUGGCGAAGGCGGCUCUCUGGUCCAUGCUGACGCUGAGGUACGAAAGCUAGGGGAGCAAAUGGG
rnacentral:rRNA from 1 species